rnacentral:misc_RNA from 1 species
GAUGAAGAACGUAGUGAAAUGCGAUAAUUAAUGUGAAUUGCAGAAUUCCGUGAAUCAUCGAGUCUUUGAACGCACAUUGCGCCUCAUGGCAUUCCGUGAGGCAUGCCCAUCUCAGCGUUAGAAAAUAUUCUCAAAUUUUAGUUUUGUGCUAAAAUUUGGAUCAUGUCAAGGAAGCUAUUACUAUUAUUGUGAUCGCUCUUUGGAAAUUGAUAGGUCUUUGAGUUGCUACUCAUAGAACGUGAUGAAUCUUUCUUCGUUCUAUUGUAAUUCACUCUGGUAGUCCUAAAACUUGUAUGCCUGUGGCAUAUCUUGUAAUUUGACCUGAAAUUGGGUAGGGAUACCCGCUGAACUUAAGCAUAUCAAUAAGCGGAGGA